rnacentral:rRNA from 1 species
GACGAACCGUGCGAACGUUGUUCGGAAUCACUGGGCUUAAAGGGCGCGUAGGCGGGCUUAAAAGUCAGGGGUGAAAUCCCACGGCUCAACCGUGGAAGUGCCUUUGAUACUGUAAGUCUCGAGGGAGGUAGGGGCGUGCGGAACUUCCGGUGGAGCGGUGAAAUGCGUAGAUAUCGGAAGGAACACCGGUGGCGAAAGCGGCGCGCUGGACCUCUUCUGACGCUGAGGCGCGAAAGCCAGGGGAGCAAACGG